GUGCCAGCCGCCGCGGUAAUACGUAGGGUGCGAGCGUUAAUCGGAAUUACUGGGCGUAAAGCGUGCGCAGGCGGUUAGCCGUGUCCGAUGUGAAAGCCCCGGGCUCAACCUGGGAACGGCAUUGGAAACUGGCUGGCUGGAGUGUGGCAGAGGGGGGUGGAAUUCCACGUGUAGCAGUGAAAUGCGUAGAGAUGUGGAGGAACACCGAUGGCGAAGGCAGCCCCCUGGGCCAACACUGACGCUCAGGCACGAAAGCGUGGGGAGCAAACAGGAUUAGAAACCCGUGUAGUCC
rnacentral:rRNA from 1 species